GAUGAAGAACGUAGCGAAAUGCGAUACUUGGUGUGAAUUGCAGAAUCCCGUGAACCAUCGAGUCUUUGAACGCAAGUUGCGCCCGAAGCCAUCAGGUUGAGGGCACGUCUGCCUGGGCGUCACAUAUCGUUGCCCACUGCCUAUUGCAGUGCAAUAGGAAUUUCUAGGGCGAAUGAUGGCUUCCCGUGAGCGUUGUUGCCUCGCGGUUGGUUGAAAAUCGAGUCCUUGGUAGGGUGUGCCAUGGUAGAUGGUGGUCGAGUUAGAACGAUACCGAUCAUGUGCAUGCUCCCCAAAAUAUGGCCUCUAUGACCCACACGCGUCUUUUGACGCUCAUGACGAGACCUCAGGUCAGGCGGGGCUACCCGCUGAAUUUAAGCAUAUCAAUAAGCGGAGGA
rnacentral:misc_RNA from 1 species